CCUCCCUCUCGCCUCGUCUCCGAGAGAUCCUCCAGAUCAAUGCGCCUAGAACCACGCUCCCACCCAUGCCAUGGUUGAUGCCGAUGUAGCCGGCGCGCCUCAUCCCGCAGUGUCUGGGCCCUCCAUCUCUCGUCCCCCCUUCACCGCCGGCAGCAGCAACCGCUCCUUGCCCAUGCUCCCGUCGCCGCCACUCUGGGCCCUCCAUCUCUCGUCCUCCCUUCACCGCCGGCAGCAGCAACCACUCCUUGCCCGUGCUCCCAUCGCCGCCACCGUGCCUGAGGUGCAGGCCCAAUGCACUACCAAGAAGGAGGCGCUAAUCCCCUCGUUAAUUCAUGUGCAAGGCUAAGGUGUCGCUGCUCCCACCAGCCCCUCUGCAGCGGCAAGGCAAGGGAGUGGAGGAAGGGCUGGCCGCUGCGAUCCGGCGGCUUCGCCUUCCUCUGCGACAAGUGCGGGCUGGAAUGUUGGAAGAUGUGGUUGACUGGUACUGCUCACAUCCUGGUUACGCAUGCUGGGUGAACGGCGUUGAUGUUUCAACUGACAUGCUUAAUCAAGAGUUUAUGCAACUAUUCUUGGCUGUUCUGAUUGACCCUACAAACACUGUUUCUGCUGGUAAAGUGGACAGUGGAGCUUUUAGCUAGGACAUACCUGAAAGAUUACAAGCCCCCAGAUGAGCAUGUGAAGUAUCAGGCCAUACCACUCAACAAGACAGAAGAUUUUGGUGUUCACUGCAAACAGUACUAUUCUUUGGAUAUAACCUAUUUCAAGUCAUCCAUGGCAUCUCAGCUCGUUGAUCUACUCAUUAUUGAUCAUAAGUGGAGAAGUAUUCCAUCGGUUUCUACAGCAUUACUACUCGUCUUAUUGUGUAUGCCCAUGCCCUUGGAGGCCAACGGGAUGGUUGGUGUUGAGGCAAGAAGCAAGGGGAGCCCCACAGUGACUCCAGUGAGCAGCACAAGCGACAUACCACACACAACUAGGAACACGAUCACGGUUGUGAUGAUGACAUGGACAUGGUGUAUCGGCAUGGCGAGGCCCCACUGAGGGGUGGCUGUCAGUGCACAUGCUAUCCAUCUUAUUUUCCUCUAUAUUUAGGUGCUUGUACUCAGUGCUUCAUUUGGUUUAGGAAAGUUUUAAGAAUUCCUACUUCCGGAUGCUUGUUGUUUGUUGCGUGCGAGCCAACGGAAAAAGGAAGUGACCUAGAAUGUGUUGCAUAGAAAGGAUACUUUAGUUGAGGAGUUUUUUUUUCAUUGUGAUAGAAGAUAAUUUCAUAGAUUCAAAAAAUAUAUAUCUAUUUUUGCUAAUUUCUUUAAUGGUUAAAUGGUUGGAAUUUACCUUUAAAAAAUGAAGUAGGAAGGAUAGUUGUAGAAAGGGAAUAGUUGCUUCCAUUGUUGUUGUUGUUUGCAGUCAAGUAAUAUUCUAAGUUUUUUAUGGUUGUCAUAGAAUACUGUUUAGGGUUUGGAAGGCCAUGGUGAUCACUAUAUCUAGAUGAGGUUGAUGUUUAGCUAAUGCCCAUAGAAUGUACACACGAGAUUGGUGUUUCAUGCAUGUUUCUUUGUGAAAAUAUGGAUUGCUGGUGAUGGGAUAAUAAUCAUCUUUCACACAUCAUCCACUUUGUCAUUUAUGUUACCUAUUUUGGUUGUCUUCCAUUCUUAAAGGUAUAUCUUCUUCCUGAACGCAUGUCAACUAUGUGCUUUAUCUACUUAAAUUUUCUUGUGAGCUUUCAAUCCAGGUUCAGCUGUCACCAAUAUAAAUGUGGCUAUGUUAGAAGAUGGUACAAGAAAUGUUCAUGCCACUCAAGAUAUUCACAUUCAAUACUAUUAUUAUUAUUAGUUAUAGAAGGAGUCAUUUACAAGGGGCCCACCUCCUAAUAUAGUAUUUUCGCUGUAGAACUUAUGCUAACUGAAUGUUAGAACAUAUAUUAUCCAUGCAAGUUAUCUGUAACCGUUAAUUUGAUUUUUAGAAUUUUACAUGUUGACCUUUCGGGAUCAUGUCGGUGCCUUCUACAGAUUAGGUUCAUCUUUAACUAAUGCUCAUGUUGCUCUUAGAUGGUGCAAGAUGGAAUCUUGUAGUUUCCACAACAUUGCUUUGUAAACCUUUGGGAAACUUUGAUUGAUUUUGUUGCUUGGUUUU